GUAACCCAAAUUCUGACUUCUGUCAUGUGUGCAUUUGCUACGUGCUUAAAAGUACAGGACAGCCUGUGCUGAAGGCCUCAGCUGAACUUUAGACUUAGAAGACUUCUAUAUCAAUAUGGAAAUAAGAAAAGUUAAAGAUAAAAGAUUUCCACGAAAUGUUUAUACUUCUAAAAACAGCAUGAUUCAGAGACGUUUAUAUUCCAUCACACGUCUGCUAUUUGGAGUCAUUCGAACCCCCCCCUGUGGGUUCUUAACAAAAGAGAACCAGACGAUUAAUCUUCUGAGGUAGGACAGUUGGACUUUGAACAUACAAUCUGCUGACCUUACGAAAUAGGGAACUGAAAUUAGGCUGCAAGGGCUAGGAUGUAUUUUCGGAGAAGGAUGACGACUGUUUUGAUAUCUGUUUGAGACGUGGCUGCAGAGACGUGGCAUGGGUUUGAUACAGAUUGGCAGGGCUAUAAGAGGAGGCAAAUUCACCCCUCUCUCUCUCUCUCUCGCUCAGACUGAGUUCAGCAUAGACCCUUCUAGCUGGACUUAGUCUUUUCUCACCUUCUUUAUCUUUGAUUCCGGGCUCACUUGAAUACUUUGAACUUCUCUCAGUUUUGGAGGCACCCGCUGGAGAUCGUUGAAGUUUUCAUUUCAUUAAGUUUUGAUGCAACGCAAGGCAAAAUAAAGAGAGGUAUGAGUGCAUGCUGAUACGGAACCUAUCCUGCGUACAUUUACCACACGACUGGUUCUAAGGGUGACCCUUUGGUGUGACUUCUGCAACAGUGCAGCUCAUCAACGAUUCGGGAGAGGUUGCUGUGCUCGUAGCUGGACAUCAGUGUUGGAUCCCAAGAACUGGACGCAUCGUCAUCACAUCGCACGCUAACUCUACAUCAUCUGAGAGACUUGUGCUUUCAUCUACCAGCUGAUAUAUAGAUUUACAAAUCCCUACAUCAAGAUGCCUCACAAGAUUAUUGAUCAAAAAGAUUCUUUUACUCCUAUUGCUGUCAGCAAUGAUGAAGAAAUUUAUGAAUUAGAGGUGAAGGGUAAGGAAAGAUACGAGAUGUUGAAAAAGAUCAACGAAAGUUUGGAAAUUUGCGACAUGAUACCCCAAUCCAAUAAGGACAAAUAUCUUAAGAAGCUACCCAUUAAGAAGAGAAAGUAUGAUGAUAAGUUUAGAGAUGGAAAGAAGGGUAUGCUGUAGUAAGUCCUCGACCCAGCAAAAGUCCAGGUGAGGUCAGGGGUCGGAUGCUUUUAGUGCUCCUCGUCUGAUCAGCUUGGUGAAGAAUUCCUGUCAACUUUAACGCGGCUGGGGUUAAAGAGGUAUCUGCAGUCUACCUGAAAAGAUUCAUUCACUUUUAUAUUUCCUUUAUGCUUACACGAUUAAGUGCCUAUCUGAAAUGUUUUACUUACUUAUUUUUUUCUGCAUAUGUAUUUGUUACCUUUGACUAUUAUGUAUAUUAUUUUCAAGGGAAAGGAUUUUGGGUGCGAGUCUUUUUGUCAAGACUCGAGUGGGGGACUGAUGUAACCCAAAUUCUGACUUCUGUCAUGUGUGCAUUUGCUACGUGCUUAAAAGUACAGGACAGCCUGUGCUGAAGGCCUCAGCUGAACUUUAGACUUAGAAGACUUCUAUAUCAAUAUGGAAAUAAGAAAAGUUAAAGAUAAAAGAUUUCCACGAAAUGUUUAUACUUCUAAAAACAGCAUGAUUCAGAGACGUUUAUAUUCCAUCACACGUCUGCUAUUUGGAGUCAUUCGAACCCCCCCCUGUGGGUUCUUAACAAAAGAGAACCAGACGAUUAAUCUUCUGAGGUAGGACAGUUGGACUUUGAACAUACAAUCUGCUGACCUUACGAAAUAGGGAACUGAAAUUAGGCUGCAAGGGCUAGGAUGUAUUUUCGGAGAAGGAUGACGACUGUUUUGAUAUCUGUUUGAGACGUGGCUGCAGAGACGUGGCAUGGGUUUGAUACAGAUUGGCAGGGCUAUAAGAGGAGGCAAAUUCACCCCUCUCUCUCUCUCUCUCGCUCAGACUGAGUUCAGCAUAGACCCUUCUAGCUGGACUUAGUCUUUUCUCACCUUCUUUAUCUUUGAUUCCGGGCUCACUUGAAUACUUUGAACUUCUCUCAGGUUUUAUUCAUCUCAGAUAUGAUUAUUAUUAUAUUACUUGUUAUUAUAUGAAUACUAUUAUAACUUUUGACUUUUGAUAUACAGGGU